rnacentral:lncRNA from 1 species
GUCCAGAAGAAAGAUCAGAAGAUGAGACUAUAAGAACAGCCCUGUUUUCACACUCAUUCAUUCAGGGAUUUCUGGAGCUGUCCAUUGUGACCAGGCUAUUCUCUAAGGUGAGUCCACCUUGACCUUUCUGUCCCAGUGUUCACUGUUUUGUCUGUUUGUACUUUUGACAUUCCAAAAGGUUAUGGCAGGGAGAAAAAUAUGGUUGUGACUCUCCCUGCUGUGUGGAAGAGUGUUCCCCUUUAGUUUGCUUGUAAUGCUCUGCCUGAUCAUCUCAUUCAGUGUCCCCUGCAGUGGGUCAUCGCACACAUCUUGACCUACCUAAAAAGAUACGUGAUUUUAGAUUUCACCUAAUUUUCUUUCCCAGACUGAAGAAUCCCAGCCCAUUCAGUCUCUCCAUUCACAGAAGAUGACCACCUUUCUAUCUUCAUCUGUGCCUUUUCUGAAGGGUUCUCAAGAGUAAAACAAAGUGUGGCCUCCUCGAUAUAAAACACCUUGCUGGUUUUAUUUCACUCCAACCCAGACAUCUGUUCUCCUCCAAGGUGGAAAUAAAGGAGAUAGGUUGGCAUCUGAUGAGCCAGCACUUCAAAGACCAGCACUGGCUUAGCUCCAGUUUCAGGAUUCUUGUUCCCGUACACAGCCUUCAGAUCUGUUCAAUGCUAUGCUAUAGUUUUCUAUGAAAACAGAUCUGUUCCUACAGAAGAAGAGCAUUGCUUACACUGCAAUAUUCUUAAAUAGAUUAUUUCAACAUGGGCACAGCAAUUUUAAAAAACAACCAACCAACCACCACCACAAACAACAACAAAAAAAACCCAGCUGGCAUUUACUGAAGCAGACUUUAUACAGGAGCAAGAUCAAUCUGAGGAAUGUAAACCUCAAGUGCCUACUAUAA